AACACGUGAGUAACCUGCCCUUAACUCUGGGAUAAGCCUGGGAAACUGGGUCUAAUACCGGAUAUGACUCCUCAUCGCAUGGUGGGGGGUGGAAAGCUUUAUUGUGGUUUUGGAUGGACUCGCGGCCUAUCAGCUUGUUGGUGAGGUAAUGGCUCACCAAGGCGACGACGGGUAGCCGGCCUGAGGGGGUGACCGGCCACACUGGGACUGAGACACGGCCCAGACUCCUACGGGAGGCAGCAGUGGGGAAUAUUGCACAAUGGGCGAAAGCCUGAUGCAGCGACGCCGCGUGAGGGAUGACGGCCUUCGGGUUGUAAACCUCUUUCAGUAGGGAAGAAGCGAAAGUGGCGGUACCUGCAGAAGAAGCGCCGGCUAACUACGUGCCAGCAGCCGCGGUAAUACGUAGGGCGCAAGCGUUAUCCGGAAUUAUUGGGCGUAAAGAGCUCGUAGGCGGUUUGUCGCGUCUGCCGUGAAAGUCCGGGGCUCAACUCCGGAUCUGCGGUGGGUACGGGCAGACUAGAGUGAUGUAGGGGAGACUGGAAUUCCUGGUGUAGCGGUGAAAUGCGCAGAUAUCAGGAGGAACACCGAUGGCGAAGGCAGGUCUCUGGGCAUUAACUGACGCUGAGGAGCGAAAGCAUGGGGAGCGAACAGGAUUAGAUACCCUGGUAGUCCAUGCCGUAAACGUUGGGCACUAGGUGUGGGGGACAUUCCACGUUUUCCGCGCCGUAGCUAACGCAUUAAGUGCCCCGCCUGGGGAGUACGGCCGCAAGGCUAAAACUCAAAGGAAUUGACGGGGGCCCGCACAAGCGGCGGAGCAUGCGGAUUAAUUCGAUGCAACGCGAAGAACCUUACCAAGGCUUGACAUGAACCGGAAACACCUGGAAACAGGUGCCCCGCUUGCGGUCGGUUUACAGGUGGUGCAUGGUUGUCGUCAGCUCGUGUCGUGAGAUGUUGGGUUAAGUCCCGCAACGAGCGCAACCCUCGUUCUAUGUUGCCAGCGCGUGAUGGCGGGGACUCAUAGGAGACUGCCGGGGUCAACUCGGAGGAAGGUGGGGACGACGUCAAAUCAUCAUGCCCCUUAUGUCUUGGGCUUCACGCAUGCUACAAUGGCCGGUACAAAGGGUUGCGAUACUGUGAGGUGGAGCUAAUCCCAAAAAGCCGGUCUCAGUUCGGAUUGGGGUCUGCAACUCGACCCCAUGAAGUCGGAGUCGCUAGUAAUCGCAGAUCAGCAACGCUGCGGUGAAUACGUUCCCGGGCCUUGUACACACCGCCCGUCAAGUCACGAAAGUUGGUAACACCCGAAGCCGUUGGCCUAACCCC
rnacentral:rRNA from 1 species